GAGGAUAUAGCCCAAAUUGUAGAGCACAUGCUUAGCAUACAUGAGGUCCUGGGUUCAGUCCCCAGUACUUCCU
rnacentral:tRNA from 1 species